GAUUGAACGCUGGCGGCAUGCCUUACACAUGCAAGUCGAACGGCAGCAUGAUCUAGCUUGCUAGAUUGAUGGCGAGUGGCGAACGGGUGAGUAAUACAUCGGAACGUGCCCUGUAGUGGGGGAUAACUAGUCGAAAGAUUAGCUAAUACCGCAUACGACCUGAGGGUGAAAGUGGGGGACCGCAAGGCCUCAUGCUAUAGGAGCGGCCGAUGUCUGAUUAGCUAGUUGGUGAGGUAAAGGCUCACCAAGGCGACGAUCAGUAGCUGGUCUGAGAGGACGAUCAGCCACACUGGGACUGAGACACGGCCCAGACUCCUACGGGAGGCAGCAGUGGGGAAUUUUGGACAAUGGGGGCAACCCUGAUCCAGCAAUGCCGCGUGUGUGAAGAAGGCCUUCGGGUUGUAAAGCACUUUUGUCCGGAAAGAAAUCGCACUUACUAAUAUUAGGUGUGGAUGACGGUACCGGAAGAAUAAGGACCGGCUAACUACGUGCCAGCAGCCGCGGUAAUACGUAGGGUCCAAGCGUUAAUCGGAAUUACUGGGCGUAAAGCGUGCGCAGGCGGUUGUGCAAGACCGAUGUGAAAUCCCCGGGCUUAACCUGGGAAUUGCAUUGGUGACUGCACGGCUAGAGUGUGUCAGAGGGGGGUAGAAUUCCACGUGUAGCAGUGAAAUGCGUAGAGAUGUGGAGGAAUACCGAUGGCGAAGGCAGCCCCCUGGGAUAACACUGACGCUCAUGCACGAAAGCGUGGGGAGCAAACAGGAUUAGAUACCCUGGUAGUCCACGCCCUAAACGAUGUCAACUAGUUGUUGGGGAUUCAUUUCCUUAGUAACGUAGCUAACGCGUGAAGUUGACCGCCUGGGGAGUACGGUCGCAAGAUUAAAACUCAAAGGAAUUGACGGGGACCCGCACAAGCGGUGGAUGAUGUGGAUUAAUUCGAUGCAACGCGAAAAACCUUACCUACCCUUGACAUGCCACUAACGAAGCAGAGAUGCAUUAGGUGCUCGAAAGAGAAAGUGGACACAGGUGCUGCAUGGCCGUCGUCAGCUCGUGUCGUGAGAUGUUGGGUUAAGUCCCGCAACGAGCGCAACCCUUGUCUCUAGUUGCUACGAAAGGGCACUCUAGAGAGACUGCCGGUGACAAACCGGAGGAAGGUGGGGAUGACGUCAAGUCCUCAUGGCCCUUAUGGGUAGGGCUUCACACGUCAUACAAUGGUGCAUACAGAGGGUUGCCAAGCCGCGAGGUGGAGCUAAUCCCAGAAAAUGCAUCGUAGUCCGGAUCGUAGUCUGCAACUCGACUACGUGAAGCUGGAAUCGCUAGUAAUCGCGGAUCAGCAUGCCGCGGUGAAUACGUUCCCGGGUCUUGUACACACCGC
rnacentral:rRNA from 1 species